AUUAUUGAAAAGGGCAAUAGGAUCUUGGAAGGGGGAGAACACAGUAUAAAGCGACACAAACGCUGCAGAGGCACUGGGCCUGCAAGCUUCGCAUGGGGGAGCUGGAAAUCCCUGACAACUGCACAAUCUUGCGUGUGGAUUUCAACAUCCCAAAGCAACCAGAUUCCUGGUGUGGCUGGACUCGGGGAUAAGGUGCUGCGAAAGACAGGUUUGAAGCAGAAAGACCAAGAAAACACUCAUCUGAGCCAGCCCCGGGCGCUGCAUAACAACCGUGGGCAGGCCCUCCACCCUGUCUGGGCGGAUUCUGGACAGUCGGCGGUGACCCGGAGGAAGAAGGGAAAGGUCGUCGAGGGGGCGGAGCCUGAACCGGUGCUUGGGCGGGGCCAGAAGGUGGAGGCCGCUUUGGAAGCCGGGCCAGGAUUGACUUCUAAAGACUCUUGGUACGUGAGGAAGAAACCUGGAAGAGGAAGAGGAAAGCAAAGGAGUCAGGGAUGGCUCUUCCUCAGAUUGUCAGGGGAGUGUUCAUUGGCAGCACCUGCCU
rnacentral:sRNA from 1 species